UACAGAGGGUGCAAGCGUUGUUCGGAAUUAUUGGGCGUAAAGGGCGCGUAGGCGGUGCGGUAAGUCUCUAGUGAAAUCUCCGGGCUCAACUCGGAGCCUGCUAGGGAAACUGCCGUGCUUGAGUGUGGGAGAGGUGAGUGGAAUUCCCGGUGUAGCGGUGAAAUGCGUAGAUAUCGGAAGGAACACCAGUGGCGAAAGCGGCUUCCUGGUCCAGCACCGACGUUCAGGCACGAAAGCGUGGGGAGCAAACAGG
rnacentral:rRNA from 1 species